ACGGUGAGUUUGGAUGCUGGACUGUCUGACCACAUGCAGAAGGUGGGAAUGGGCAGCCACGCCAAGCUGGAGCGUCAGGGCAGUAAGGGCAGCAAAGGAUGCUCCACCCCGUCUCAUAAAAUCCACAGUCCACUCAGCAACGCCGACAAACAGAGCACUGACCUUCACGGACUGCUCAGCAUUGACUCUAGUAUUCAGUCAUGGGGGGAUGAAUCCAAGUGGAGGAUGGAGGAGAACCACACCUCCUUCAGUGAGAGGAGUCGCAAGGACAAGGGAGGUUUCAGGAGCUCCUUCAAGAAACUCUUCAAGAAAAAGUCAGGUGAUGAGAGGAAAGCAGGAGAAAAAACACCAGAGCAUCAAACCAGCGGGGAACACGACACACCGGGGAAAAAUCCAAAACUGAUCCACCUUGAGAUCAACCGCGGCACGGCGGUCUGACGUCCCUCUGAGUCAUGUGUCAAAAACACUGAGUCAUUCCAUGGAAGUUUCCUCUAAAUGUAUAAAUAUGUCUGCAGACUUCAAACUGAGAGAAAGCACUUACGAUUUAACUAAAAAAGAUGAUUUUACUUUGUUCAUACACUUAUGUUUCUUCAUAACUAACAUUUUCCUGUCUCUGCUCUUCAUACUGGACUUUAUCUGUAAGAGCUCAGGAAACAUGAGGUUUUCUCUUUGCAUUCCUGUUCUUUAUGUAUGGCACCUUUGUUGAGGAUCAGCUGAUGGAAAACUUAUUCUGGAUUUAGUUUUAAAAAAAAAGACUAAUCAGACAAAGCAUAUAUUUCUCCUGCUUUGUGUUAAUGAAAAAGGAAAUUAGACGUCUGAACAAAUGUUUUCUUUAUCCUGUCAGAAGAAAAAAAAUUCAUAUUUGAUGGUAACCUUCAAAAACUCUCUCUACACAAGAUGUUUAUAGUUUAUCCCAGUUUCUGCCCUAAUUCUUCAUGUAUACAAGAUGGAAAAGGAUUUGAUUAAAAUG
rnacentral:lncRNA from 1 species